rnacentral:rRNA from 1 species
GAUGAACGCUAGCGGCAGGCUUAAUACAUGCAAGUCGUGGGGCAGCAGGGGCGUAGCAAUACGCUCGCUGGCGACCGGCAAACGGGUGCGGAACACGUACACAACCUUCCUUUAAGUGGGGAAUAGCCCGGUGAAACCCGGCUUAAUACCCCGUAACAUAAUGAAGUGGCAUCGCUUUAUUAUUAUAGCUCCGGCGCAUGAAGCUGGGUGUGCGACUGAUUAGGCAGUUGGCGGGGUAACGGCCCACCAAACCUACGAUCAGUAACUGGUGUGAGAGCACGACCAGUCACACGGGCACUGAGACACGGGCCCGACUCCUACGGGAGGCAGCAGUAAGGAAUAUUGGUCAAUGGACGCAAGUCUGAACCAGCCAUGCCGCGUGGAGGAUGAAGGUCCUCUGGAUUGUAAACUUCUUUUAUCUGGGAAGAAAUCCAUGAAUUCUUUUGUGGUUGACGGUACCAGAUGAAUAAGCACCGGCUAACUCCGUGCCAGCCGCCGCCGUAA